rnacentral:rRNA from 1 species
GCUUGUCUCAAAGAUUAAGCCAUGCAUGUCUCAGUAUAAGCUUGUGCAUAGUGAAACUGCGAACGGCUCAUUAUAACAGUUAUAAUUUGUUUGGUGUUCAAGUUUACAUGGGUAACUGUGGCAAUUCUAGAGCUAAUACAUGCAAAAAAACCCAGACUUACGAAUGGGUGCACUUAUUAGAUAAAGCCAACGCUGGGUAAAACCAGUUUCCCUUGGUGAUUCAUAAUAAUUAAGCGGAUCGCAUGGCCUUGUGCUAGCGACAGUCCACUCGAUUUUCUGCCCUAUCAUGGUUGAGAUUGUAAGAUAGAGGCUUACAAUGCCUACAACGGGUAACGGGGAAUUAGGGUUCGAUUCCGGAGAGGGAGCCUGAGAAACGGCUACCACAUCCAAGGAAGGCAGCAGG